GAGAUCACAGAGUCCAACCCCUGUCCCUGCCCAGACACCCCAACAACCCCACCCUGUGCAUCCCUGGCAGCAUUGUCCAAACCCUCCUGGACCUUUGGCAGCCUUGGGGCUGUGCCCAUUCCCUGGGGAGCCUGGGCAGUCCUGAACAGUGAGGGACUGCAAAUACACCAGGGCAUUUACAGCACCAUUCAAGACUCCCAACGCUGCAGCAAUAAAACCAGCUCAAUGUGUAAUUUUAGGAAGAAAUUCUCUCUUCAAGUCUCAAUAUGUGUAUGUCUCUGCCAGUUCUUCUCUUCUCUGCAAAUGAAAUUUUCAUCUUCCCAUCAGUUUCUCCCACAGUCAAGCUCCAAAGAAGGAUGUUCAGUUAUCUAAACACUGAAGCUGGUUUGGGCGCUUGCCAGCUUCAAAUGCAUCGUGUUCACUACCCACUGGACUGCUUUGAAGGAUGCCUUUCUUCUAAAAUACUACGCCCUUUAGAGGAACUCAGAAGAGCUGCUGUGAAAGCAUUUCUGCACACAGGCUGUGGCCCACGUGGGGACAGGAGCUGUCAGAACUGUCCGCAGGGCAAACGCGCCUGCUCGCGUUUCACUGGGCUCUGCUCGUUCCUGUGGAGUCCCUGCUCCUCUGGGCACUGCUCUGCACCAAGGUGUUUGCUCUGCCAGCAGCUGGAAGGAAGCCAUGGAUUUCACCUAAAUCUCUGCCACUAUGCAAAAAACCUGAAGGAUAAAAACGCUUAGGAGAAUGACAGAGGAAUAUUUUGCCAUGACUUUUAAAGAUGAAAAAUAUUAAAAUUUUGUGAAGUAACAUGAAUUUAAGCUCAAUAACAUACAACAGACAGAAAAUAGCAAUGGUUGCUGGAUAGAAAAGGAGAAUUUUCAGUAGUAGAAGAACAACUUCUUUCUUGUGACCCUGUCUAGCAACCUCUGCUGUGAACAGAACUAUCGAUCCAGGGAGGGUGUUUUGCUCAGAGGCUGGAAUCAGCCUCUCUGUGUGCAGGCAGCUCUGCUCCUAGCCUGCUGCCCAGCAGGGCU